rnacentral:tRNA from 2 species
GCCCAGGUAGCUCAGUUGGUAGAGCAUGCGACUGAAAAUUGCAGUGUCGGUGGUUCGAUUCCACUCCUGGGCACCA